rnacentral:rRNA from 1 species
UCCGUAGGUGGAUUAAUAAGUCAGAGGUGAAAGCCUGCAGCUUAACUGUAGAACUGCCUUUGAUACUGUUAAUCUUGAAUUAUUGUGAAGUAGUUAGAAUAUGUAGUGUAGCGGUGAAAUGCAUAGAUAUUACAUAGAAUACCGAUUGCGAAGGCAGAUUACUAACAAUAUAUUGACACUGAUGGACGAAAGCGUGGGGAGCGAACA